rnacentral:rRNA from 1 species
UACAGAGGUCCCGAGCGUUGUUCGGAUUCACUGGGCGUAAAGGGUGCGUACGUGGCCUGAGAAGUUUGAUGUGAAAGCUCAGGGCUUAACCCUGAAAUGGCAUUGAAUACUGUUGGGCUGGAGGUUUGGAGGGGGGACUGGAAUUCUUGGUGUAGCAGUGAAAUGCGUAGAUAUCAAGAGGAACACCAGUGGCGAAGGCGAGUCCCUGGACAACACCUGACACUGAGGCACGAAAGCUAGGGGAGCAAACAGG